rnacentral:rRNA from 1 species
CCUACGGGAGGCAGCAGUAGGGAAUAUUGGGCAAUGGAGGCAACUCUGACCCAGCCAUGCCGCGUGCAGGAUGAAGGCGUUAUGCGUUGUAAACUGCUUUUAUAUAGGAAGAAAUAGACCUUGCGAGGUAAGUUGACGGUACUAUAUGAAUAAGCACCGGCUAACUCCGUGCCAGCAGCCGCGGUAAUACGGAGGGUGCAAGCGUUGUCCGGAUUUAUUGGGUUUAAAGGGUGCGUAGGCGGUUUAUUAAGUCAGUGGUGAAAGACGGUCGCUCAACGAUUGCAGUGCCAUUGAUACUGGUAGACUUGAGUGUGAUUGAGGUAGCUGGAAUGGAUAGUGUAGCGGUGAAAUGCAUAGAUAUUAUCCAGAACACCAAUUGCGUAGGCAAGUUACUAAGUCACAACUGACGCUGAGGCACGAAAGUGUGGGUAUCAAACAGGAUUAGAUACCCUGGUAGUCCACACUGUAAACGAUGAUAACUAACUGUUGGCUUUUGGGUCAGUGGUACAGAGAAAUCGUUAAGUUAUCCNCGNGGUGUGCGCGAGUAGAGAGAAGAGUUGNGNGNGNGNGNGCGAGNGACGAGNGGAGAG